CCUGGGAGGCAGAGGUUGCUGUGAGCCAAGAUCACGCCACUGCACUCCAGCCUGGGCAACAGAGUGAAACUGUGUCACAAAACAAAACAAGACCCUCCAAAUUUAAUUUAUCUAAGGGUUUUCUUUUAACAUGCCUAAGAGGGCAAACUUCAUGCCUGAGUUCCCUUAAAAAAGAGUUUAAAUCUCAUCCACAACUGAUGUUCACACCUAUUCUGAUGCAUCUGACUAUCUCUAAAACAGACGCUUACACCAUGAGAACCUGGUUUGAGGGAAAUUAGGAACAGGGUCCCUGGGAGAAAGUUAUGCUUAGUGAACAAGGAGUUGGAAAGGAUGGGGAAGACCAAGCCUGCAACCCGAUGUCAGGACGGCACAGGGGAUCUGAGAGAGAAGUGUGCCCUCCUGCCCACACCCGUGUGUUCUGUGUAAGAGGAUUGUAUGUGAGGAAGAGGCAAAAUAAUAAUGCCACGAGAGCCCCCAACCCUGCUGCCGUGAGUGCCCUCGACUCUUCUGAACAAAAAGGACAUUAAGAGCGAAGCUGCUGCCCUGAGAUGUUAGCAGGAGAGAGGCAAUAAUGGCCACCACAAGUUGGAGACCAAUGCCUGAGACUCGCAGUGCAGAGAGGGCUGAGGGCCUGGGGUUCCUUGUGGCCAUGAGCAGGUCAGCACAGGACGUGGGACCUCAGUAAUCCCACAGCAGUGGCACUGAAACCCAGUGACCCCAGCACUGUGUGAUGGAGAAAGCAGUUGGAGCACAGGACUGGGCUGGUCAGACAACGGCUCAGCUCUGAACAGGGCACCACUACCACCGUGUCUGCUCUCUUGGAGACUCAGGCACCUUGGGGCUAGGAGCUUGAAGGUAAUUCCUGUCUAGUGGAUGAGGAUCACUCAUUCAGCCCACCUGGCCAUACAGUGUCAAAGUGCUCUUCUACGGUUCUCAAGCCGCGUGGGACCGUGGGAAGCCCUGGGUUACACUACAAACUCAAGUGUGACUCACCCACCUGCAAGGAGUGUAUUUCUUUAGAAUGCCUCCGUGAUAUUCAUUACAGACCACCAUAGGAUCUUGAUAAAGAGGACAAGUGUGGCAACUUUCCACAUUCAGUGGGCUUUAAAAAAGUUUUGCUCAAACUAUUAUCUAAUACUAAAAACUUUAAUAUUCAUGAAAAAGGUAAUAUCGAAUCAGUCUCUGGCUGAGUAAAAAAAGGAAAAGAAGUGUACCCCCAAAUGCUUUGAGGUGUUGCUCUGCUUGCUUCUCUUCUGGAGAACAGUGUCCCACAAGUGAGAUUCCUUGUAGAAGCCUUGAAAUGGUGCAACAGCUGGUUUUAUUGGAAAGAAGGGGUGCCAGUGCAUAUCAGACACCUCUCCCUGUCCAUCAGAUAGAUUUCCUAGAUGGCUGCAGGGUCAGUGUGCAGUCUGUGAUAAAUGCACUCACAUAUUGUAACCCAAAGAGAAACAUGAAAUGACUCCUUUGUCCAGGAGAAUUUCAGAGGCCGAAAACUCCAUGACCCUCUAACCUCCCAAUCCCUUUCCUCUGUGCACUUUCUUUCCUCUUGCCUUGUUUUGUUGAGGGAUUCUUUUGUUUUCUGAUUCUGCUUCAUUUGGCCAGCUCUCUGCGGGUCUUUGGCACCUGGGAAGGUCUGAAUGUGGCCUUUGUGUUUGCUGAACUGUGCUGUGCCCAGCCAGGCAGAGAUGAUCACUAAGCUUUUCUACAGCUUCAUAACUGCAAAUUGCUCAGCCAUUUGUUGUUUAAUCCUCACAAACCCUUUGUCCUGGAGGCAGUGCGGCAUUCUCAUUGCCCUUCAUUUUCCAGUUGAGGAGGUGGAUAAUAUGUGACCUGUUCUAGGACACAGGUUGAGUUGAGAAUCUGUCUGCUUGGGCCACGGGAGACUUGCAAGUGAACACAAUAGCAGUGAAGCCCAACUGGGAAGAGUGAGUUAAACUGGGGUAGGCUGACGUUUGCAUCCUUUUGAAGAAAUUCUGAUGCCCUAAUUUGAAGGUGUGAGUUACUGGUUGAAGAUCUGUAGGGGGGAAUCAUGCCACAAAGAGGGCUUGUAAACUCAGAUUACUUCUGGGUGGUAGCACUUAUAGAGAUAUAAUUUUGAGGCUAGUGCCGUAUAGGUUCCUUGACUACUUCAAGUGAUCUAUCCAGGCAAUAAUGAGUCCAUAAAAGGCUCAGUUCAGCAGCACACAGCCUGUACUCCCGACCUGCCUAUUGCGAUGGUUUUGUCCCUUCCACUGGACCAUGUCAUUUCCCCCACCUUUUGGAGGUACCUUUGUUUUCUGCUUCACUAAGAAAAUCUAAUUCAUCAGGCUUUUAGCUUCUUCAUUUGCCUUUUCAUCUUUUCUAAGCUGUCCUUUUAUUAAUCCUCUCUCUCCUGUUUUCAAGAAAAAGCAGAUCUGUUCUUUUGUCUGGGGGCAAUCUUACCUUCUUCCCCUUGGUUGCCUUUUAUUUACUUUCUCAAUGAUCUCCUUCAUUAUCCCCGGUCCCCUCUUCCUCUCUGGCAUAUAAAGUCUCCUCUGUUUAAUCACUACAUGUAUGCAUUCACGAUCCUCCUUUACCUUGAUUUCAGGUGAUCCUAAAACUGUUUCCAGCUGCCUGAAGAUAUUCCUCUUGCAAAUCUUUUGAACCAGAAGACUCCACCUUUUGUCUCCACUUCUUACCUCCCACCUUCAACUUCUUGUCUGCUCUGACAUGACACGCUGUGGAUGCUGCACUCACUCUUCUCUGUGUUUGGUCUCCAAUGACCUGUGAGUGCACAUACACAGACUGAGCACUUCCAGGGAUAUUCUGCCAAUGCGGAGAUAGGAGGACAGCAGAGCUCUUUGCAAUUGGAUUUCUCCAUGUCAGUGGGAAACAGAGGAUGUCUUCACACACUGAGCGUGGUUCCUGUGUGAAGAACGCGACUCUGGACAAGACAGCUCUGUAGUUGAGACAGACCCUGAAGGAGCUGGAGGCUACCUGCUGACCACUCUUCCCAGCAGCUGAGAAGUGAGUCCUUUUUUGGAGUGGGAUCUUGGUGACAAAUCUCCAUGUCUAUCAAAAAAGUAAGUAAUGAUAAUACCUACCUCAUGGGGUUGUGACGAGGAGUAAAUGAGCUAUUAUUUGGAAGAGUUCUUAGAAGAGCGUUUGCUGCUAUCAUUGUGUGUGCAUAUGCGCAUGCAAGCGAAUGUAUGCAAUGCUUCUGUUCCAUCGCCAGAAUCUUGGAGAAUGACUUCUAGAAUGUAGUGAACGAAAGCGAAUGUUUCCACAUCUUGUUUGCUCUCCUUCUCUACUACUGCAAAUUCUGCUGAUAGAAGGCUCACGGGUUAUUUUAUGCGUUACUUUGUUAGGCAACUCAGGCGGUCUUGACUUCUUUGUCUUCUGGACAUGAUGAGUGUUACAAAUCUUUUAAAUAACCCUGGGCAGUCAUGAUAUAAACCUUGGCCUGUUUUUCCUACUAGAUGAUAAAAUGUGAAGAGUAGGAGCCAAGCAGAACUAACGAAGGAUGUGAUCUAGGUUGGGGCUCCAAGGGAAGGUUGAACAAAUUGUAAAAGGAUGCAAACACACUUCUGUGCAUUGAAUCCUCAAUUGAGACUCUGGGAGAGCAGGCGGCUCUGUAGGGCUGACUUCAGUCAAGAAGCUUGGUGUUUAGGGUACACAGAAAGCCCAGCCUAGCUCUCUAGAUUGACUGGCUUCUGAAAUUCCAGACUCUGGUUUGCGUUCUACCUGGGCUGUCUCAAAUGCUGUAGGCUCAAGGAGCAAAGAACUUCACGCUUUGAAAUUGUCUGAGGUUACUUUUCAGAUUGAAUUGGGUAACAAAGGGCUUGCUCUUGUUGACAAAGAACAGAGAUGUUUGUUUCCUGGGGCAUGGUGAUUGGUACUAGGGUAUAUUCUUUUAAAGAGUGAAGCUAUGAGUAAAGGUUUUGAUUUUGGAGGAGUUCACAGUCUAAAGAAAGCAGAGCACAAACUGAGAAAAAUGUGUGCAUGAAAAUAUGAACUUACAUGUUAACGUUGAGAGAAUGACGUCUACCUCAUGGCUAGGUGAGUUCUGAAGGUGUUUUUGUGGGGAGACUCUGAAGAGAGGAGUCUGGGAAGACUCUGAGUAAAGUAAACGUUUUGAAGAAUGUUUUGAGGAGGGAAAGAGAUCAUGACUUGUUGAGAAAGAAGACCCCGUUAGGAAUACAUGUUUGUGAAUUCCUCACACAGUUGAACCUUGAACACCACCAGUGUUAGGGGUACUGACCCCCACACACAGUAAAAAAUUCUUGUAUAACUUUUGACUCCCUCAGAACUGAACUGCUAAUAGUUUACUGUUGACCAGAAGCCUUACUAAUAACAUAAACAGUGAAUUAACACAUAUUUAGUAUGUUAUAUGUAUUAUGUAUUGUAUCCUUACAAUAAAGUAAGCUGAAGAAAGGAAAAUGUUAUGAAAAUCAUAAGAAGGGAACAUAUAUUUACUAUUCACUAAGGGAGAGAGAAUCCUUAUAAAUUUCUUUAUGCUCGUCAUUUAUGUUGAGUAGACGGAGGAGCAGGAGAACUUUUCAUUUUUAUUUUGCACUCUGUAUGUCUUAGGGGAGGCAGAGGUAGGGAGAUGCAGGAGGUGGGAGGGGAGACAAGAGAGGCAGACACACUCGAUAAACUUUUAUUGAAAAAUAUUCAUGUGUAAGUGGACCUGUGCAAUUAAAACUUGUGUUGUGGAAGGGUCAGCUCUAUGCAGAAAUCAUGUAUCUGUCACUUUGGUAUCCCUAGAACUUUGCAUAGCAUCUGGCAUAUGGUAGAUCUCAAAAAUUGUAGGUUGAACUGAGGGCAACCAUUCAGGCUACCGUGUAGGAGAUGGGUUGGAGUAGAGGGGGACAAAGUCGAAGAGAAAUGUGACCAUGAGCCGGGGAUAAGAGGUCUAGAGAGGGCAUGGCCAGGACACCAGGAAUGACAAAGGAAGUCUAAGACAUGUGUGGAUCUGUGUUUCUUCAUCAGGGUCUAUCGACGUGUUCUCAAGGCCCAGGAAGUGCUCCCUAAGAUUUUGAAAAGGCUGCCUUUUUGAUCAUCUGAAUAACCAUAUGGUAACUAUUCCUGCUGUAUGAUUUAGAUGCUGUAUUUUCUUUGUAUUUGUAGUUGAGGAUUGGCACCACGUAAUUGCCAAAAUGACAGCAUUUCACUUUUAAUAUGCUGUUAGGCACUCCUGGUUGCUGUUGGGUUGGUUGCUCCUAAAGUCGACAUCACAGUAACCAUUUGUUGGCGGCCGCUGUUCAGUGGAAGACUGUUUAUCCUGGUGUCUAAACACUAGCAAUGCUCAAGAACAAAAUUGUUUUAAAUGACUUUAAAAUGUACACAUAUUUAUUCUCUUUAUGUAACAAUGAUGAGCCCUGGUGCGUUUGCUCUCAUGGAUGCCUGGGAAUUCAGGGGUCCAGGCAGCAUGGGGCAUCAAGAAGGUGUGAAUGACCAUAAAUGGUCACUACAGAAUGAUAGCAGUUCCCCUGCAACCCCUUGUCUCUGUCUUUCUGUCUUUUUCUUAUAAGAUUGAGUUGUGGUGUUUCUGGGACAUUUAUUAUUUUGGCAGGUAACAGCUAAGCAAAAGUGCUAAAACGUUAAGUUGAAAUUUGGCAAAUAUAUUUUGCGUAUCCCAUUGUUUCAUCUGAAUACUGAAAAGAAAAAAUAAGGUGAUGAGUAUAUGAAAUAUUGGGGCAUGGAGCAGUGUCUUCCAUCCUUGUAUGCUUUUGGAAUUAAGGCUCUUGAAAUAUAGGGAAUCUUGAUAGAGCGAUAAACAGUGCAACAGCAAAAAAAAAAAAAAAAAAAAGGACAAAAGUGUGCAUGUCAAAUUUUAAAAA